UACGUAGGGUGCGAGCGUUAAUCGGAAUUACUGGGCGUAAAGGGCGCGUAGGCGGUCAGCACAAGUCAGUUGUGAAAUCUCCGGGCUUAACUCGGAAAGGUCAACUGAUACUGUGCGGCUAGAGUGCGGAAGGGGCAACUGGAAUUCUUGGUGUAGCGGUGAAAUGCGUAGAUAUCAAGAGGAACACCUGCGGCGAAGGCGGGUUGCUGGGCCGACACUGACGCUGAGGAGCGAAAGCGUGGGUAGCGAACAGG
rnacentral:rRNA from 1 species